rnacentral:rRNA from 1 species
CACGUAGGGUGCGAGCGUUGUCCGGAAUUAUUGGGCGUAAAGAGCUCGUAGGUGGUUUGUCGCGUUGUUCGUGAAAUUCCCUGGCUUAACUGGGGGCGUGCGGGCGAUACGGGCAGACUGGAGUACUGCAGGGGAGACUGGAAUUCCUGGUGUAGCGGUGGAAUGCGCAGAUAUCAGGAGGAACACCGGUGGCGAAGGCGGGUCUCUGGGCAGUAACUGACGCUGAGGAGCGAAAGCGUGGGGAGCGAACAGG